rnacentral:rRNA from 1 species
AGAUACCCUGGUAGUUCACGCUGUAAACGAUGUCGACUUGGAGGUUGUUCCCUUGAGGAGUGGCUUCCGGAGCUAACGCGUUAAGUCGACCGCCUGGGGAGUACGGCCGCAAGGUUAAAACUCAAAUGAAUUGACGGGGGCCCGCACAAGCGGUGGAGCAUGUGGUUUAAUUCGAUGCAACGCGAAGAACCUUACCUACUCUUGACAUCCAGAGAACUUAGCAGAGAUGCUUUGGUGCCUUCGGGAACUCUGAGACAGGUGCUGCAUGGCUGUCGUCAGCUCGUGUUGUGAAAUGUUGGGUUAAGUCCCGCAACGAGCGCAACCCUUAUCCUUUGUUGCCAGCGAUUCGGUCGGGAACUCAAAGGAGACUGCCAGUGAUAAACUGGAGGAAGGUGGGGAUGACGUCAAGUCAUCAUGGCCCUUACGAGUAGGGCUACACACGUGCUACAAUGGCAUAUACAAAGAGAAGCGACCUCGCGAGAGCAAGCGGACCUCAUAAAGUAUGUCGUAGUCCGGAUUGGAGUCUGCAACUCGACUCCAUGAAGUCGGAAUCGCUAGUAAUCGUGGAUCAGAAUGCCACGGUGAAUACGUUCCCGGGCCUUGUACACACCGCCCGUCACACCAUGGGAGUGGGUUGCAAAAGAAGUAGGUAGCUUAACCUUCGGGAGGGCGCUUACCACUUUGUGAUUCAUGACUGGGGGAAGUCGAACAAGUAGCAUGCAC